rnacentral:rRNA from 1 species
UUUAUCAAAAACAUCGCCUCUUGUAACCAAAAAAUAAGAGGUCCCGCCUGCCCUGUGACUAUAAGUUUAACGGCCGCGGUAUUUUGACCGUGCGAAGGUAGCGCAAUCACUUGUCUUUUAAAUGAAGACCUGUAUGAAUGGCACAACGAGGGCUUAGCUGUCUCCUUUUUCCAGUCAAUGAAAUUGAUCUCCCCGUGCAGAAGCGGGGAUAAAUACAUAAGACGAGAAGACCCUAUGGAGCUUUAGACACUAAAGUGGAUCAUGUCAAUAACCCCUAAACAAAGGAUUGAACCAAAUGGAACCCACCCUGAUGUCUUUGGUUGGGGCGACCGCGGGGAACUAAACAACCCCCAUGUGGAGUGGGAGCACCCCUCCUACAGCUAAGAGUUACAACUCUAAUAAACAGAAUUUCUGACCAAAAAGAUCCGGCAAAGCCGAUCAACGGACCUAGUUACCCUAGGGAUAACAGCGCAAUCCUCUUUUAGAGCCCAUAUCGACAAGGGGGUUUACGACCUCGAUGUUGGAUCAGGACAUCCUAAUGGUGCAGCCGCUAUUAAGGGUUCGUUUGUUCAACGAUUAAAGUCCUACGUGAUCUGAGUUC